rnacentral:rRNA from 1 species
AGAGUUUGAUCCUGGCUCAGGAUGAACGCUAGCUACAGGCUUAACACAUGCAAGUCGAGGGGCAUCAGUUUGGUUUGCUUGCAAACCAAAGCUGGCGACCGGCGCACGGGUGAGUAACACGUAUCCAACCUGCCUCAUACUCGGGGAUAGCCUUUCGAAAGAAAGAUUAAUAUCCGAUAGCAUAUAUUUCCCGCAUGGGUUUUAUAUUAAAGAAAUUCGGUAUGAGAUGGGGAUGCGUUCCAUUAGUUUGUUGGGGGGGUAACGGCCCACCAAGACUACGAUGGAUAGGGGUUCUGAGAGGAAGGUCCCCCACAUUGGAACUGAGACACGGUCCAAACUCCUACGGGAGGCAGCAGUGAGGAAUAUUGGUCAAUGGACGCGAGUCUGAACCAGCCAAGUAGCGUGAAGGAUGACUGCCCUAUGGGUUGUAAACUUCUUUUAUAUGGGAAUAAAGUGGUCCACGUGUGGACUUUUGUAUGUACCAUAUGAAUAAGGAUCGGCUAACUCCGUGCCAGCAGCCGCGGUAAUACNGAGGAUCCGAGCGUUAUCCGGAUUUAUUGGGUUUAAAGGGAGCGUAGGCGGAUUGUUAAGUCAGUUGUGAAAGUUUGCGGCUCAACCGUAAAAUUGCAGUUGAUACUGGCAGUCUUGAGUGCAGUAUAGGUGGGCGGAAUUCUUGGUGUAGCGGUGAAUGCUUAGAUUUCACGAAGAACUCCGAUUGCGAAGGCA